AACGAACGCUGGCGGCAUGCCUAACACAUGCAAGUCGAACGAGACCUUCGGGUCUAGUGGCGAACGGGUGCGUAACGCGUGGGAACCUGCCCUUAGGUUCGGAAUAACUCCCCGAAAGGGGUGCUAAUACCGGAUAAUGUCUUCGGACCAAAGAUUUAUCGCCUUUGGAUGGGCCCGCGUUGGAUUAGCUAGUUGGUAGGGUAAAAGCCUACCAAGGCGACGAUCCAUAGCUGGUCUGAGAGGAUGAUCAGCCACACUGGGACUGAGACACGGCCCAGACUCCUACGGGAGGCAGCAGUGGGGGAUAUUGGACAAUGGGCGAAAGCCUGAUCCAGCAAUGCCGCGUGAGUGAUGAAGGCCUUAGGGUUGUAAAGCUCUUUUACCCGGGAUGAUAAUGACAGUACCGGGAGAAUAAGCUCCGGCUAACUCCGUG
rnacentral:rRNA from 1 species